GACGAACGCUGGCGGCGUGCUUAACACAUGCAAGUCGAACGGAAGGGCCAUGAUUUUGUGGGGUGCUCGAUUGGCGAACGGGUGAGUAACACGUGUGUAACCUGCACUUGACUUUGGGAUAAAUUCAGGGAACUGGGGCUAAUAUCGGGUAGGAGCUCCUGCUGCAUGUGGGGGGUUGGAAAGUUUCGGCGGUUGGGGCUGGACUAGCGGCUUAUCAGCUAGAUAGGCGAGUAGUGGCUUACCAGGGCUGUGAAGGAUAGCCGGCCUGGGAGGGUGACCGGCGACAUGGCUACUGCGGUACGGAGCAGACGGCUACGGGAGGCAGUAGUGGGAAACAUUGCACAAUGAGCGGAAGUGUGUGGCAGCAACGCCGCGUGCGGGAUGACGGCUUUUGGGUGAUAAACCGCUUUCGCCUGUGACGAAGCGUGAGUGACGGUACCGGGUAAAAAAGCACCGGCUAACUACGUG
rnacentral:rRNA from 1 species